UACGUAGGGGGCAAGCGUUGUCCGGAAUCAUUGGGCGUAAAGAGCUCGUAGGCGGCCACUCAAGUCGAAUGUGAAACCUCGAGGCUCAACCUCGAGACGCCGGUUGAAACCAUCAGGCUAGAGUCCGGAAGAGGAGAGUGGAAUUCCCGGUGUAGCGGUGAAAUGCGCAGAUAUCAGGAAGAACACCGGUGGCGAAGGCGGGUCUCUGGGCCACUACUGACGCUGAGGAGCGAAAGCGUGGGGAGCGAACAGG
rnacentral:rRNA from 1 species